GGAGCCAUGGCUCAAUGGAUAGAGCACCGGUCUACGGAACCGGGGGUUGAAGGUUCGAGUCCUUCUGGCUCCG
rnacentral:tRNA from 1 species